GGUUCCAGAUGCUAGGUUACUUGACAUGCCAGCUGCAUGAAGAGCUAAGCCUUCCUCUUGCACAGCCCUUGCUAUGACUAAGUGAUGCUCCUGGGCUGUAUCAAUAACAGUAUUGGAUGCUUGUGAAGGUGUAUUUCUGUUACCAGAAAGAGAGUUCUGUCGAUGGUGAGGAGACAAGUUGGGUCCAGGCAUGGGGUUCCGCUGUUGAAGUGGAUAAUCAUUCCUACCAUCGUUGUAAGAAUCAGACAUCCUUCCAACAAGAUGGGCUGAACCUGAAAAUGCUGUGGGUGGACCUGAUGUAGACACAUCCCUCAAAAAGGAUGGAUCACCACCCGACCUGGCCAAAUCUGUAAAAGAACCCAUUGGAUGAAAAUGACCUGAAGGUGUGGGUGGCUUUGUGUAUUGUGCGUCCCCAUGAAAAGACAAUGUUUCCCUUUUCUCAUUUGGAUGGAUAAGAGACCCAAAAUUUGAACCAGGGAGCUCUAAUCUCAAAACAACGCCAGAAAUACAUAGUUUCCCAGGUACUCUCAGUACUUUCUCUGCGAAAUCAGAUGGGGGUACAAGAAACAAGGUGGUUUUAUCAUCCAAUUUAGCAACUGCAGCUCGCUGCUUCUCCUCAAGAUAAUGCAUGAAUUCAUUGUAGUACCCAAUGUCAGCAUCACUAGCAGGGGCAAAGAAAACAACCCAAGCAGAAGCUGCUUGAUAGUAGUGCUUCGCAAGCAUGUCUAGACCAGUCCUUGCAGUGCAAUCCAGAAAUUCAGGUAACAUGAUGUCCAGGGACUUUCCUACAGGAAAGCCACGGGCAUGACAGACCGGAGUUCCACCCUUUGCUAUAGUUCCUUCCCAUUUCCAUAGGUUCAAAGAGGAUUGUUCCGGCUCAGGAGUGAAUCUUUUCCUCUCAACAGGGUCUGAAGGCACAGAACCAGAGCCAUUCCGGAAAUUGUCAUAAGAAGCUUUCCAGUGAUCACUCCUUUCUUCAAGAGGAAGAGAUAAAGAACUUAGGCGGUCAGAGUUUGGCUUAUAUCCAUAGUUCUUUUCAAAUGACUCAGGUUGGGGAAAAUCAGAGAAUGCUCUUGGAAAAGCUUGUUUCUCCUCUUCUAGGUCAGAGAAAGGAUAUUCUGGAAGCUCUUUGUCAGGAGGAAAGGAGCCUGUCUUCAAUUUUUUGGCUCCACGGAACAUAUAGGAAUCUUCAGGCAAGUCCCAAGGUUCUUCAUAAUAUGAAG
rnacentral:misc_RNA from 1 species